GCGCCCUGGGUGUGAUGGACAGCACAACCGUCUUCUAAACGGCAAGACCAGGUUCGAUCCCUGGAGGGCGCGCCA
rnacentral:tRNA from 1 species